AGAAAUAAUUGUUCAUAGACAAAUACUAUAUAAAUUAGUAAGCCAGUAACAAGAAUCUCUAAAAAUAACUGUUCCCAGUGGCUCAGUGGUAAAGAAUCUGCCUGCCAAUGCAGGAGACACAGGUUCGAUCCCUGAUUUGGGAAGAUUCCCAAAUGCCCUGGAGCAACUAAGCCCUUUUGACACAACUAUUGAAUCUGUGUUGCAACUGAAACCAGCUUGCACAAGAGCACGUACUCCACAAAAGAGAAGCCACUGUCUUGAGGGGCCCACUCACCACAGUUAGAGAGUAAGCCCCACUCACCACAACAGGAGAAAAGCCUGCACAUCCAUGAAGAUUCAGCACAGUCAAAAACAAUAAAUAAAACACAAUUAUUAAAAUAAACUAUAUUGUAUAAUGCAAGUGCCUUUAAGGGGUUCCCUGGUAGCUCAAGCAGUAAAGAGUCUGCCUGCAAUGUGGGAGACCCAGGUUUGACCCCUGGGUUGGGAAGAUUCCCUGGAGAAGUAAAUGGCAACCCACUCCAAUACUCUUGCCUGGAAAAUCCCAUGGACAGAGGAGCCUGGCGGGCUAUAGUCCAAGGGGUCGCAAAGAGUUGGACACAACUGAGUGACUUCACUUUCUAGGAAUAAUAACCUGAAGAACCUCCUGUCACCUGGAGGAGUGGAAUUUGCUGUCUGAGUGAGAUCUAGAACUAGAAGCUAGUUUGUAAAAUUCCUUCCUCCAAUUCCACCAUUUGCCAUGCAGCCCAAGACAAAGCUCUCAAUUGUGUUAUGGCUCUGAAUAUCUGCCUCUAACAUUUAAAUAAUAUCUGCCACUUAUCCCAUUAACAGAGGUGCUGUAAGGAUUCAAGAGAUAGUGUUUGUUAAAGAUCCUGCCCAUAAACACAAACAUUAUUCCUGAUAAAUGUAAUGGUUGCCCUGGCAGGUUCUGUUGAAGAUGUAUGGUGCUUAGCAAUAGUGAGGGUGAGGAUAAAGCCAUGUGAGAAACUCCAAGAUGACCUUGGUCCAGGGCUGAAAGCGGCCAGAGCAAGGUGCUGAGAUAGUUGGAGGUCAAUAGAAGGAAGAUUUGUUUGGCACUGGACAGCUUCCAGCCCAGCCCAGUCCACCUGGGAGGAAAGGAUGUCCUUCGCCCUCUGACCUUUUCCCGCAGAAACUGAUGACUGUCAACAACGGCCUUUGUUCACUCUUCCAGAAGAGUGAAAGUGAAAUAGCACUAAGCAUUUCAAAUCCUUCUUAAACAUUAAAAAUAAUCAUUAAAAAAAGAGCAGUGGAGAUUGGGUUUCUAAUUACCCACAGGCAAGCAUUUAAAAACACAGUGACUAAAAAUCUAACUGUGCUUCUUCAGCGUUGUGCAUGAAAAAAGAGAAAACUUUUCAUUUUCUGUCUUUGCCUUUUGGUUUUACAGGGACAAAAUGCGAAAGAAACUUCCUUAAUUUUCAGCUCAGUGUUUGCAGCUUAGGAUUCCAUUAAUAUAUCCUCUCCCUUGGUUGUGCAGGGUCCUCGUUUGCAGUCAGUUCAUUCCGCACUGAUGUAUAUUUCAUUGCCCAAGGCUUAAUUUUGAUUUAUUGUCCAUCCAUAAAUUAGAAAAAUAUGCUGUGGAAUUCCAUCCCGCUGAAAAGCUGUGCCUGAUGUCAGGGGACUGGGUGAUAUUUAAGAUGUCAGAAAUACAUAUUGGAUUAGUGCGCUUUGUUUCCCCACAACAGCAGGUGUUUAAUCAUAGCUGAUGGCUGAAGUUAAAUGCAUUAGGACAGCAGGAUCCAAGAAGAUGGAGUUUUUCUAAACCAUACAAACUC
ensembl:lincRNA